AAAAUAUAUAUAUAUAAAAAAAAAAAGAAAUCGAAAAAAAAAAAAAAGAAAAGAAAGAAAAGGGGGCUAGCAAAGUUGUUAGGAGCUAAGAAAUGUUUUGAGGUUGUAGAAAAAUCCCUUGUAGAUUUCAAAAAGAAAGAGUUAAAGUUCUUAGGAUCUAUCAGUGAGAGAUGUGAGUUGGGUUUGACAUUUGGGAAUGAUUGUGUAAUUGUAUGUUUGGGAAAAGGGUAGAAUAAUGGAGAUUGAGCAUUGUAUGCAUGAGUUGGUCCCUUUCUUAGAUAU
rnacentral:lncRNA from 1 species